rnacentral:pre_miRNA from 1 species
UUAAACCGUUUAAUAACUCAACCCAUCAAAUUAAAUGAGUUAUGGGUUGACGCAACUCAUUUUAUUAAAUGGGUUGGGUCAACCUAUAACUCAUUUAAUCAUAAACUCAUUUGAUUAUGAGU